rfam:Triticum aestivum genome assembly, contig: Triticum_aestivum_CS42_TGACv1_scaffold_433784_5DL
GACAUACUCCCUCCGUUCGGAACUACUUGUCGCAGAAAUGGAUGUAUCUAGAUGUAUUUUAAUUCUAGAUACAUCCAUUUCCGAAACAAGUAAUUCCGAACGGAGGGAGUAUUCU